AUACAUGCAAGUCGUGCGAGAAAUUCCUGAGCAAUCGGGGAGAGUAAAGCGGCGAACGGGUGAGUAACACGUGGGUAACCUACCUUAGAGACCGGGAUAAGCCUCUGAAAAGGGGUCUAAUACCGGAUAAUAUUCCGAGGGGGCAUCUUCUCGGAAUUAAAGGUUGCUUUCUUUUAGAAAGCUAUCGCUUUUAGAUGGACCCGCGCUCCAUUAGCUUGUUGGCGGGGUAAAAGCCCACCAAGGCUGUGAUGGAUAGUCGGCCUGAGAGGGUGUCCGGCCACACUGGGAUUGAGAUACGGCCCAGACUCCUACGGGAGGCAGCAGUAGGGAAUAUUGCGCAAUGCCCGAAAGGGUGACGCAGCAACGCCGCGUGGGUGAUGAAGUUCUUCGGAAUGUAAAACCCUGUCAGAGGGGACGAAACUCCUGCUUUUAGCGGGAUUGACGGUACCCUCAGAGGAAGCUCCGGCCAACUCCGUGCCAGCAGCCGCGGUAAUACGGGGGGAGCAAGCGUUGUUCGGAAUUACUGGGCGUAAAGGGUGCGUANGCGGGCAAGCAAGUCAGANGUGAAAACUCCGAGCUCAACUCGGAGCCUGCGUUUGAAACUACUUGCCUUGAGUACGGGAGAGGGAAGUGGAAUUCCUGGUGUAGCGGUGAAAUGCGUAGAUAUCAGGAGGAACACCGGUGGCNGAAGGCGGCUUCCUAGCCCGAUACUGACGCUGAGGCACGAAAGCUAGGGGAGCAAACAGGAUUAGAUACCCUGGUAGUCCUAGCCGUAAACGUUGGGCACUAGGUGUUGGAUCGUAAGGUUCAGUGCCGUCGCUUACGCAUUAAGUGCCCCGCCUGGGGAGUACGACCGCAAGGUUGAAACUCGAAGGAAUUGACGGGGGCCCGCACAAGCGGUGGAGCAUGUGGUUUAAUUCGACGCAACGCGAAGAACCUUACCUGGGCUUGACAUCCUGAUAAAAGUCUCAGAGAUGAGACCCUCCAGCAAUGGGCAUCAGGACAGGUGCUGCAUGGCCGUCGUCAGCUCGUGCCGUGAGGUGUUGGGUUAAGUCCCGCAACGAGCGCAACCCUUGUCCUUAGUUGCCACCUCCGAUUUAUAUCGGGGAGCACUCUAAGGAGACUGCCGCAGAUAAUGCGGAGGAAGGUGGGGAUGACGUCAAGUCCUCAUGGCCCUUAUGUCCAGGGCUACACACGUGCUACAAUGGUCGGCACAGAGGGUUGCAAUACCGCGAGGUGGAGCUAAUCCCUAAAGCCGGUCUCAGUUCAGAUUGAAGUCUGCAAUUCGACUUCAUGAAGGAGGAAUCGCUAGUAAUCGCGGAUCAGCAGGUCGCGGUGAAUACGUUCCCGGGCCUUGUACACACCGCCCGUCAAGCCAUGGAAGUCGGGAGUACCCGAAGUCCCGUAAGGGCCGAAGGUAAAACCGAUAACUGGGGC
rnacentral:rRNA from 1 species